CUGCUAGCAGCACAUAGACUAAAAUUGGAAUGAUAGAAGAUUAGCAUGGCCCCUGCGCUUGGAUGACAUGCAAAUUCAUGAAGUGUUCCAUAUUUAA
ensembl:snRNA U6 U6 spliceosomal RNA